GCCUGGGUGGCUCAGUUGGUUGAGCGUCCGACUUCAGCUCAGGUCACAAUCUCACAGUUCAUGAGUUCGAGCCCCGUGUCAGGCU
rnacentral:tRNA from 1 species